CAUGCAGUCGAGCGGUAGAGAGAAGCUUGCUUCUCUUGAGAGCGGCGGACGGGUGAGUAAUGCCUAGGAAUCUGCCUGGUAGUGGGGGAUAACGUUCGGAAACGGACGCUAAUACCGCAUACGUCCUACGGGAGAAAGCAGGGGACCUUCGGGCCUUGCGCUAUCAGAUGAGCCUAGGUCGGAUUAGCUAGUUGGUGGGGUAAUGGCUCACCAAGGCGACGAUCCGUAACUGGUCUGAGAGGAUGAUCAGUCACACUGGAACUGAGACACGGUCCAGACUCCUACGGGAGGCAGCAGUGGGGAAUAUUGGACAAUGGGCGAAAGCCUGAUCCAGCCAUGCCGCGUGUGUGAAGAAGGUCUUCGGAUUGUAAAGCACUUUAAGUUGGGAGGAAGGGUUGUAGAUUAAUACUCUGCAAUUUUGACGUUACCGACAGAAUAAGCACCGGCUAACUCUGUGCCAGCAGCCGCGGUAAUACAGAGGGUGCAAGCGUUAAUCGGAAUUACUGGGCGUAAAGCGCGCGUAGGUGGUUUGUUAAGUUGGAUGUGAAAUCCCCGGGCUCAACCUGGGAACUGCAUUCAAAACUGACUGACUAGAGUAUGGUAGAGGGUGGUGGAAUUUCCUGUGUAGCGGUGAAAUGCGUAGAUAUAGGAAGGAACACCAGUGGCGAAGGCGACCACCUGGACUAAUACUGACA
rnacentral:rRNA from 1 species